ACCCUUUAAUGUUUGAUGUUCUAACGUGGACCCGUUACCCGGGUUGCGGACAGUGUCUGGUGGGUAGUUUGACUGGGGCGGUCUCCUCCUAAAGAGUAACGGAGGAGCACGAAGGUUGGCUAAUCCUGGUCGGACAUCAGGAGGUUAGUGCAAUGGCAUAAGCCAGCUUGACUGCGAGCGUGACGGCGCGAGCAGGUGCGAAAGCAGGUCAUAGUGAUCCGGUGGUUCUGAAUGGAAGGGCCAUCGCUCAACGGAUAAAAGGUACUCCGGGGAUAACAGGCUGAUACCGCCCAAGAGUUCAUAUCGACGGCGGUGUUUGGCACCUCGAUGUCGGCUCAUCACAUCCUGGGGCUGAAGUAGGUCCCAAGGGUAUGGCUGUUCGCCAUUUAAAGUGGUACGCGAGCUGGGUUUAGAACGUCGUGAGACAGUUCGGUCCCUAUCUGCCGUGGGCGCUGGAGAACUGAGGGGGGCUGCUCCUAGUACGAGAGGACCGGAGUGGACGCAUCACUGGUGUUCGGGUUGUCAUGCCAAUGGCACUGCCCGGUAGCUAAAUGCGGAAGAGAUAAGUGCUGAAAGCAUCUAAGCACGAAACUUGCCCCGAGAUGAGUUCUCCCUGAGAC
rnacentral:rRNA from 1 species